rnacentral:rRNA from 1 species
CCUACGGGCGGCAGCAGUGGGGGAUAUUGCACAAUGGGGGAAACCCUGAUGCAGCGACGCCGCGUGGGCGAAGAAGUAUUUCGGUAUGUAAAGCCCUAUCAGCAGGGAAGAAGAAAUGACGGUACCUGAGUAAGAAGCACCGGCUAAAUAUGUGCCAGCAGCCGCGGUAAUACGUAUGGUGCAAGCGUUAUCCGGAUUUACUGGGGGUAAAGGGAGCGCAGGCGGCACAGCAAGCCUGAUGGGAAAGCCCGCGGCCCAACCGCGGGAGUGCAGUGGGAACUACCGGGCUGGAGUGCCGGAGAGGUAGGCGGAAUGCCUAGUGUAGCGGUGAAAUGCGUAGAUAUUAGGAGGAACACCAGUGGCGAAGGCAGCCUACUGGACGGUGACUGACGCUGAGGCUCGAAAGCGUGGGGAGCGAACAGGAUUAGAUACCCCGGUAGUC